GCUGACGAUAAAUUUUUAUGAGAAGCUUCUAGUACUUGGUCUCAAAGUGGAAGAGAGCAGGGAAGGAAAUGAGAGUGAAGCUUCUCGAUGGAUCAAAACAGAACUUCUUGUACAGAUGCAGUUAAUACUUGCGAGGUAUUGCGCUGGUGGGGUUGGAAUCAACUUGUGUACCUUCUAAAUUACCAGGACCAAAGAUAGCGACAACUUAUGAAGCUUAUGGGCUUUUCCAGCUGAAAGUAUAUUUACUGUGAUUGCUUAUAAUUUUUGGAGAACAAAGCAACUAAUAUUUGUAAGUUACAUGUAUUCAAGUUUUGAAUAUGAAAUCAAUCGUCUGAUUGGCGACUGAGUCGAGCUCUACGUAUCGGCGACUGAA